GCCCAGCUAGCUCAGUUGGUAAAGCAUGAGACUCUUAAUCUCAAGAUUGUGGGUUUAAGCACCACGCUGGGCA